UCACUAGGAAUACCGAAAGCGAAGGCGAUCUCUUGGAACAUUACUGACGCUAAGGCGUGAAAGCGUGGGGAGCAAACGGGAUUAGAUACCCCGGUAGUCCACGCCCUAAACGAUGAACACUAGUCGUCGGGAUGCUUGUCAUCUCGGUGAUGCACUUAACAGAUUAAGUGUUCCGCCUGGGGAGUACGGUCGCAAGAUUAAAACUCAAAGGAAUAGACGGGGACCCGCACAAGUGGUGGAGCAUGUGGUUUAAUUCGAAGAUACGCGAAGAACCUUACCUAGCCUUGACAUUGAUUGAACACUUUAGAGAUAGAGUGGUGCCCUUCGGGGAACAUGAAAACAGGUGCUGCCCGGCUGUCGUCAGCUCGUGUCGUGAGAUGUUGGGUUAAGUCCCGCAACGAGCGCAACCCUCGUCUUUAGUUGCCAGCAGGUUAAGCUGGGCACUCUAAAGAGACUGCCUUCGCAAGGAGGAGGAAGGUGAGGACGACGUCAAGUCAUCAUGGCCCUUAUGGCUAGGGCUACACACGUGCUACAAUGGGGCGUACAGAGUGUUGCGAUACCGCGAGGUGGAGCUAAUCACUUUAAAGCGUCUCUCAGUUUCGGAUUGGGAGUCUGCAACUCGACUCCAAUGUAAGCUGGAAAUCACUAGUAAUCGUAGAUCCAGCAAUGCUACGGUGAAAUACGU
rnacentral:rRNA from 1 species